GUUCAAGAUACCCACAAGAUGUCAACAGAAGCCAGCUCCAGUGGGUGGGUGGUGGCUACUAGGAAGGCUGUGUUAGAAGGAUCCUGAGGACAAAGGAUCAUAAUCGAUUCGUGUCUAACACAGAUGUGGGAGGAAAUAAUGAGGCCAAGGUCCCAUGAUGUGUUAAUGGCAGAGCCAGGACCUGACCCAGAUGUCCCAGACCCCAGCCCAGGACCUUUCCCCACACUGCUGCGUCUUCAUCAACAUCAGCAGGGCAUGCACUCAAGUUUUUCCAGCUUCCUAUGCAUCCUCUGAAAAAUUGUACCUCCUUUGAGAAGCCUUCAGGCCCCACCCCGCAUCGAUACAGAGUACAAGACCACACCACAUUGUGCUGGAGCCAUCAGUGUGGUAUGUGAGGUGGUGACAGUGUCUUGCUGGCUGUCCCAGCACCUGGAUUGGGUGAGUCUGAGAGCCUCUGAGCCCUGACCUGUGUCCAGACACCUACCUCAA